rnacentral:rRNA from 2 species
AAACUUCUUUAUCACCGAGUGCUUGCACUCACCGAUAAAGAGUUGAGUGGCGAACGGGUGAGUAACACGUGGGCAACCUGCCCAAAAGAGGGGGAUAACACUUGGAAACAGGUGCUAAUACCGCAUAACCAUAGUUACCGCAUGGUAACUAUGUAAAAGGUGGCUAUGCUACCGCUUUUGGAUGGGCCCGCGGCGCAUUAGCUAGUUGGUGAGGUAAAGGCUUACCAAGGCAAUGAUGCGUAGCCGAACUGAGAGGUUGAUCGGCCACAUUGGGACUGAGACACGGCCCAAACUCCUACGGGAGGCAGCAGUAGGGAAUCUUCCACAAUGGGCGAAAGCCUGAUGGAGCAACGCCGCGUGGGUGAAGAAGGUCUUCGGAUCGUAAAACCCUGUUGUUAG